rnacentral:rRNA from 1 species
AUGCUAGAGCCCCUCAAGUCCACAUGGCCGCUCAAAGGAAAUGUGGUCCAAGUGAUCACAGACAAUGCAUCUAAUGUGAGAGGUGCUGGGUUGAUGAUUCAAGCAAAAUACAAGAAUAUUUACUGGACUCCUUGCAUUGUGCACUGCCUCAAUCUUGUGUUGAAGGAAAUUUGUGACCCAAAGAAGGAUGAUAUUGAUGAAUACGAAGUUCUUAUGUUUAUAAAAGAGGUUUCUGACCUAGCUGCCUUUGUCAAGAACUUCAUCAUGAACCAUGGCAUGAGGUUGUCUAUGUUGAAUGAGUUUAGCAAACUCAAGUUCCUCCAAAUUGCGGAAACCAGAUUUGCAAAGCUUUGUGCACUUUUGAUCUCCCUACAACAACAUCUCCACCGUGUGCUCGAUCUCGAUCGAGAUAGAGGUGAUGAAAAUUUCAUGCUUUUGCAAAAUGGAAAUAUGUUUAUGUGUGUGUGA